GACUUUUGCAGGGCUGUGCCUCCUUCCCUCCCCAGACAAAAUGCAUCACGUCAGCAGUCACAGGGCACCCUGGUUCCCUCUCUGAAUGAACUGUUAAAUGACUAAGCUGGCUCCCAACAGAGGCAGAGCCCAGCAAUAUGCGGCCUGUAAUCUGUCAGAUGAUACAGCAACAGACCCAGUGAGGGGCCCGACACACCCCCCAGGAGAGAGGAGUCUCUCACUGCAUGUGACGUGGAAGACGCCGAAGAGGUGAGGGAGGCACCAUAUGCUGCGGGCCUGCCAAGGGAGAAUAAACAGCAUCGGAAGCCUGGCACAGAGCUCUGGCGGGAACGUCCACCAAGAUCGGUCAGGCACUCUCAUGGCGUCCUCCUGGAUACAGGCUUUUGCUUUUGUUUUUAAUUUUGGAGCAGUGAAGCCGAAAGUGAGGAGUGAGGACAAGGAGAAGACCCAUUUGCUCCUGUUCAUUCAAACAGCAUCUCUUCAUUUUGAAAUUGGCAAGAGGCAGUUCGGGGCUGUGGCAGGUCCUGUACACCACCUGUUGCCUCCCAAGGCACUGUGCCUUUCUGGCUUUCUUUACCUACGUCCUGUAAAACGCCAGCAAGAACUCCUCUACAUCUUCAACAUUUUGUAGAGCAUUCCCUGCGAUGUGGAAAAUUCUGCUGUGCUAUUCCCUGAGGACACCUCUACCUUUUGUGUCCGGAAUUGGGUUCUCGGUCUCACUGACUUCAAGAAUGAAGCCGCGGACCCUCGCGGUGAGUGUCACAGUUCUUAAAGGCGGUGUGUCCAGAGUUUGUUCCUUCUGAUGUUUGGAUGUGUUUGGAGUUUCUUCCUUCUGGUGGGUUCGUGGUCUCGCUGGCUCAGGAGUGAAGCUGCAGACCUUCGCGUUGAGUAUUACAGCUCUUAAGGUGGCACGUCUGGAGUUGUUCCUUCCUCUCCAUGGGUUCGUGGUCUCACUGGCUUCAGGAGUGAAGCUGCAGACCUCCGUGGUGAGUGUUACGGCUCAUAAAGGCAGUGUGGACCCAAAGAGUGAGCAGCAGCAAGAUCUAUUGCAAAGAGCAAAAGAACAAAGCUUCCACAGUGGGGAAGGAGACCCUAGCGGGUUGCCACUGCUGGCUCAGGCAGCCUGCUUUUAUUCCCUUAUCUGGCCACACCCACAUCUUGCUGAUUGGUCCAUUUUACAGAGAGCCAAUUGGUCUGUUUUACAGAGAGCUGAUUGGUCCAUUUUGACAGGGUGCUGACUACCUCUUGAGAGUUUUCCAGGCUUUGUAAAGCUUUGGAGCUUUCCUGAGUCAGGGCCUUUGCACGUGCUAUGCCUUUUGCCAGAGAGGCUGAUUGCUCAGCAUUAUGCAUGCCUGGUUCCUUCCCAUCAUGUAGGUCUCCUGGUCAAGUACCCCCUCUUCGGAGAACGUUUUUUCCCCACCCUUCCCCUCCAGUGCACACUGCCAAACCCUGCUCCCAACCA
rnacentral:lncRNA from 1 species